rnacentral:tRNA from 1 species
AGCCUUAUAUUCAUUCAACAUGAUAAUAGAAUGCAAUUCUGUAGGAGUAAUAAAAGUUACUAAGGCUU